CACAAAACCCUAGCGCUGCCCAGCCGCCCCCAACCUCGCGCCCCACCCCCACGCCUGAUGGCUGGUGCCGCCGCCUCGCCCUCUCGCUGCAAGACGAUGGUGGCGCCGUCUCCUUUCACUCGCCCUCUCUCCGCGGGAUGGCGGAAGCGCCAUCUCAUUCCCCGGCCGCGCCCUCUCGCCGCAGGCACUGUCUCCGUUCCCUUCCCCUGACAGUUUGGGUGUCGCCGAAUCUCACUGGGAUUAGUUCGCCACCGUAGGGAGUUGCCGGGACUGGUUCGUCACCUCUGCGACCUGGCGACCUGACGAUCUGCUACCACGCAUUCUACUCCUCCCCAGGUCAACUUUACACUCCCUUUGCCUAAUCCUCUUAAUCAAUAUAUAUGAUCGAUCCAGCCUGCUUGCUUGCGCUGAUUCCAUAUUUGUUGUUCUACUCCUCUGCUGAAGCCAUCAGCAGACACAAUUUGGAAGGAAAGAAAAAAGGGAGUGCAGGCUAGAAUGCUAGAUUAUUCAGUACUAAAGUUUAAACAUCACCGUCCAGGUACAGAUCAAAUCCUCUCCUUCUGUCCUGUAUAUAUUGUAUUGGAAUUUAAUAUAUGUUUUCAGGUUGCUGACAUCAUUCUGUUGAUUGCUAUUAUGUCUACAAAAGUUUGAGGAUUACUGCAGCUGCCUAUAUGAUAUGAUUAAGAUCUUUUGCACUGUAAUAGUUGACAGAUUUUCUUGGUCAUCUGUAUAUGUUUUUUUUACACUAUAUGAAUGUCGUGCUAAAUCAAAAUAGCUUUAUAUAGGAGCAGCAAAAUUUUACUAUGAAAAUAUUAUUAUAGAAAAUGGAUUUGAAAUGUAUAUUAUUAUGGAUUCUCAACCAUCUUCUCCUAACAGCAUUUGUGCCCCUCACCAAUAGCCUGCUACGAUGGCCCACUAGAUGCCAUGGCCGCAUGUGUUGUUCAUGCUGGUGGCAGCGAUGGCGGCAUCCAAGCCCACAUCAAGGCCUGCGCCGCGCUGGGAGCAAUCUGCUCCUCCGUUGUCACCGCACAUAACACCAUAGUCGUUCAGGUAUGCUGCUGAAUUUCUUUCUUUUCAGUUUGCUCUCUUCGGCUGAUUGGCUCCUAUGCGGGCUUCUGAGAUAAGGAGAAGAAAUGAUUAGGCUGACGCCAGUAAAAUUUCUCUCUUUAACAAAAGCCUUCUAUGUGCUUGGUAAAAUUUUUAGUGGCAAAUCUAAGUUUAUUCUCAAAUACAUUUGUUCCUGCAACUUUUUAAUUAUAAUGUCGUAUAACUUUUAUGCCAGCUAACUCUGCGUAAAAAACUUUUCACUAAUAAUGAUAAAAUAUUGAAGAUGACAGUGCACCAUCUAUGUCAACUACCAGAAAUGUACAGGUUAAAGAUGUGUACAUGAUCCUUCAUAAUGAAAUCCUGAUGUACAUCGGUACAUAUAUAUGCCAAUUGUUUCUGGAAUCUUAACAAAUUGGUCUACAAGAAUAUAUACUUAAAAAAACCUUUUUUUUAUUAUUAUCAAUUACGCUCAUUCAGGGAUUGUAGAUAAAUGUAUAUGAUAUAGUACUACAUGGCAGAUGUGAUUUUUUUCCCAAGAUAUAUACUUCAAAAUAUAAAAAGUUAGUUGGAGAGUUCAAGUUUUGAUGUUCUUUGCUUAGUUGUCCUUUUCCUGUAAAUGUUAAUGAGUGCGAAGUAAUGUCAGUAUUCCUUCAUUGUACAAUACUGGUAAUAAUAUUUUGUGGGCAUGUCAAUGAGUUUUCUUGCUGCCACCUUUCUAUGCUUCUGUUUUUAGGUAUGAAUGUUUUCUUAUUGUCUUCUUUUGAUGAUAUAUGUGGUCUUCAUAUUUCUUAUCAGAUAAUUUAGGUUUAGUUCCACGAUAGCAUAUCAUGUUUAUGCUAUCGGAAGGUUUUGCCUCAAUUUCCUUCCUUCUCCAACAAAUCAUAUUUUAUUUGUUAAUUCGUCGUGCGCUAAUUCAGUACACAUAAUGGUAACAUACGCAUUUGCAUUGAUGGUAUUCUUUGUCGACAAACUUAUAUUGGCUAUUGUGAUGCAUACAUCAUCAGAAAAUUCACUGUAAGCCUGACAAUCUUGGCAUAUUACCCUUAUAUUUGGAUCAUGCAGUUAAUUUUCUAUGAGACAAACCUCAGGGUCUUUAGGGCUCAGUAUAGACAGAUAAUUGUGCCGAUAUUAAGGUAAUGAUAUGAUUUCAUGGUGCGGGUCUUUUAGCCUCCUAUCUGGAGGAAGCUCCAUUAUUCUACGAAUCAUAUUGUAACCAAUACAUUGGGUCAAUAUUGGGUCUAUAAGUCAAGGCAUUAAUCACAGGUUAUGUUGUACAUCUAGCGAACAAAUAUUUAUUUGGUUCGAUUGAAGAUUUCAGUAUUUGUGAACUUUACUAGACCGCAAUUACUACAUUUUUAAAAUCAGUGCAGGCCCUAUGUAUAUUAGCUAACAUUUUUCUUGUGCUAGAGUCAUUUCUAUAUCUGCUACUAUUGUUUAAUAUUUAAUGGAACAUUGAUUUCAUAGGUUAGCGUUGUUUGCAGGGUGUUUCAGUGACACUGAAACCAUGGUUGCCUGAGAGAAUUAAAGCCACAGGUACUUCUGAGUUGUAACCUGCAUAGUUCCAUUAUCGGUUGAUCUGUGUAGUCCAUACCGAUUAACAAUACAUAUGUGCUAUUCCAAAGAAUCCAACCCUUAGUAUCUCUAGCUUUACGUACUGUGUUAUUCUCUUUUCUGCUUUGAUCAUAAAGUAUUAUUUCAAUUUAUUUGUGUGUGACGAAGUGACAUGCACUUCAAACAAUUUUACAUGAGACAUGUCAUAUGUUCCAAUAGGGCACACUGGGGUGUAAUUUUUUCUUGACAAGCAUUAUUCCUACUUUCAUUUUUUUUCAGCGCUGCAUUGUUUUGGAAUUUUCUAAUAACCCAUCCUUCCAAUUGAAUUUUUUCUUUGCAAAUAUACUUAUAGAGUUUUCAUUAUAAGCUGACUUCAAAAUAUGAUUUUAUAACUUUUUUUAAUUCAUGAAAUGUUAUGUUUGCCCCUUCUCCAAAGCUACAGAGAUAUUUCAACACGGUUUCUUAUAUGAGUAUUUGUACUACCUACUAUAUACUCAUUGUGUAGCAAUAUAUGGAUGACAUCCAAAGAUGCCCUGUAUUCUGUAGGGGAUACCUCAAAAUUCUGUGCCAUUAUGCAAAGGAGGUACCAAUCGUCUACUAAUCUGUUGUAAGUGAUGUACUGUUGUUUUUAUUGAGCUAAAGCACUAAAUUUUUCUUUGUGCUGCAGUGCUAUAGAUGAGAAAAGAUUCAAUUAGUUCAUGACGAAGGUAUCUAUGAGAAAAUGCUGCAAUUCUCAUAUCACCUAAUGAUUGUUGUUUUUUCUAACCUAUACUCCACAUUAUGUAAGAUCCAUUGUCCUCUGUCAUUGCUACUUUUUUGUAAGUGUACAUGAUUGUACAAACAAUUAUGUGAGCAAACAGAUUGUAUUCACAUUUAAAUCUUGGUGAUAGUCACAAUGUGUACAUGCAUAUGUGGGUAUGCUUCUGACAUAAAGUUCUUUUAGACAAUGUUUAUA